CGCGGUUUUGUAAGAAAUAUCACGAAGUCAAUUACCAAUAAGCAACUAACUUAAAUAAACCAAGAGAAAUAUUUUGCUUGAAACAUUGUUUUUACUGAUACUUGGCAAUACUGUCUCAUGAGAGAAACAAACAAGCUUCGAAUAAAAACGAAAUAAAUUAGGUUGAAAAUAGGUGAUACUUGCCAAACUAACAAUGGUUUUUCAGACAGACUUUUCAUGUUCCGGUAGUUUUCUCAGAAUAAAUUAUGGUGUUCCCGCUGAAAAACCAUCGUGUUGAUUUUUUCAAGAUUUGGAAGGUUAGAGACGCGGUCGAUAACCCCAAUUCCUCCCGUCCGCUAGCAAAAAGUACGGGAAUGUUAUUUGAAUCAUUGCCGAAGGGGAGAUUUUGAAUCUAUCUAGUAAGGGAAUGUGCCAAAAUAAUAAAUAAUAAAUUUACUGACAGUG